rnacentral:rRNA from 1 species
UUGAACGCUGGCGGCAGGCCUAACACAUGCAGGUCGAGCGGAUGAAGGGAGCUUGCUCCUGGAUUCAGCGGCGGACGGGUGAGUAAUGCCUAGGAAUCUGCCUGGUAGUGGGGGAUAACGUCCGGAAACGGGCGCUAAUACCGCAUACGUCCUGAGGGAGAAAGUGGGGGAUCUUCGGACCUCACGCUAUCAGAUGAGCCUAGGUCGGAUUAGCUAGUUGGUGGGGUAAAGGCCUACCAAGGUGACGAUCCGUAACUGGUCUGAGAGGAUGAUCAGUCACACUGGAACUGAGACACGGUCCAGACUCCUACGGGAGGCAGCAGUGGGGAAUAUUGGACAAUGGGCGAAAGCCUGAUCCAGCCAUGCCGCGUGUGUGAAGAAGGUCUUCGGAUUGUAAAGCACUUUAAGUUGGGAGGAAGGGCAGUAAGUUAAUACCUUGCUGUUUUGACGUUACCAACAGAAUAAGCACCGGCUAACUUCGUG